ACGAAGCGGUGGAGCAUGUGGUUUUAAUUCGAUGAUACGCGAGGAACCUUACCUGGGCUCAAAUGUAUGUUGACGUAUUCUGAAAGGGAUACUUCUUCGGACAAUAUACAAGGUGCCGCAUGGUUGUCGUCAGCUCGUGCCGUGAGGUGUCGGGUUAAGUCCCAUAACCGAGCGCAACCCCUAUCAUUAGUUGCCAUCAGGUCAAGCUGGGGACUCUAAUGAAACUGCCUACGCAAGUAGUGAGGAAGGUGGGGAUGACGUCAAGUCAUCAUGGCCCUUACGGCCUGGGCUACACACGUGCUACAAUGGUCGGUACAAAGGGUUGCCAAGCCGCGAGGUGGAGCUAAUCCCAUAAAACCGAUCGUAGUCCGGAUCGCAGUCUGCAACUCGACUGCGUGAAGUCGGAAUCGCUAGUAAUCGUGAAUCAGAAUGUCACGGUGAAUACGUUCCCGGGCCUU
rnacentral:rRNA from 1 species